GCCGUGGCCACACGGGGCGAAAAUUUGCGCGCAAAUUUGCACAUUAAUGCCAAAAUGUUUUCGCUUCGUGUGGCAGGGGUAAAACCCCGAAAAUUUAUGCCGAAAUGUCAAACGUAUUGUUUUCAUCUGUGUUUUGGCCGCUGAAGUUGAUUUCCGAAUAAAUUUUGCAGUUUUUAACGAUUUUGUUGCUGUUGCUGUUAUAUUUAUAUUAAAAAUGCAAAAACAAUACGAAAAGAACCUACAUUUUCGUAAAUAAAGCGUUCGAUAGCGUCAAGGGUUCAGCGAAAAAGUCCGCGGACGUAUAAAAGUUUGACAGCGUGUAAGGGUUAAGCGAAACCGUUUUGGCAUUAAUUUUUUCGUUUGCGCUAGAGUUUUCGCCCCGUGUGGCCACGGCUAUUUAUUACUAGAGUUUACGCUCAAUGUGGCAGGGCCUAAUGACUGAAAUAUUUCAAAUCAGACACAUGCAUACACCUUGACUAUAGUCAUCUUGGGAAGGAUGCGUGGGUUGUGUGAUUCUUGUCAAACGAGUGUUGGUAAACAAUAGAAUCUUCCGUUUUCCGCGAAGAGGCAACAGAAAGAAUCGGGAACAUUCAGAAUUGGUUUUAGUGGUUUAGAUAUUCCGAGAUUCUCUCGUAUUUCGUAAACAUAUUGGCAAUAAGCAGUGCUACACCAAUGCCAAAAGAUGCUGACUAAAUAUUGUCGUAUUUGCUUAACUAGCGCCGGUGUUGUUAAUCAGCUCGACGAAGUAGUGCAUAAAUCCCUGACUCUCUAUGCAAUGCUGUGCAAACUGUAUCCCGAAGCCUUCAGUGGCUGUGAAAACCACCAAUGGCCUACGCGAGUUUGCGGAAACUGCAAGCACGGCAUAUUGGAAGCGUACAGGUUGUACGCAGUUUGCAUGUCAACCUUCAGUGUAUUGAAGAAUCAACUGCCGAAUAGUUUGAUCAAACCGUGCCAGUUAACCUUUCAAUCUGACCGGCCUGUGACCAGUAAUUUUUUUUCUGAUCAAGAUGGAAUAGAUUUUGAAAAUGCUGUUAUAAUCAUAGACGAUGAAGAAGAUGACAAACGUAGUCCAAUGGAUGAGCAGGAAGUUACAUUUUACACGCAAAAUGAGAAAACCGACGAUGAAGAACAUGACAGUUGUGAAACAUUUUUAAUGGGUGAGCAGCAGGCCAUCGCCCAUGAAUCUAUUAAAAACACAUCCUUAGCAUUAGAACCACUCAAUGCUGAAAUAUUUAAAGUUGAUAGUGCAGCAUCAACCUGUAAAACGGCCAAUACAGUUGGACAGCCGAUAAAAAUGGCUACUUCAAUUGAUCAAGAGCAAGAGGAAGAUUCUAGGGAAAGUAUGGAAUUUUUUGAUGAUGUAGAGGAUAGCUUGCAUGGUACCUACAAUGAUGAUAACCAAGCUGAAAAAAUGAUGAAUGAAAAAGCGGUAACAGAGCAAGCAGCAUCAGAUAGCAUCGUGAAAUCUAAGAGCUUCAAAGAUGAUUGCGAUGAAUCGGAAGGCGAAGAUAUUUUUGCAGAAAUGUUUUCUUCGGAGAUAUUCAGUUGUAAAUCUUGCCGAGUCGUAUUUGUAGACAAAGAAUCACACGUGACGCAUGUGAAAAAUCAUAAAAAAGGGUAUACAAAGUUUUGCAAAAUGUGUAAUGAAGGUUUCAAAACCGUAUCUGAUCUUUGUGCCCAUGAAUGUUACUCUAAUUCUUCGACUCUUUGUUGGAUUUGUGGCAAAACAAUGGACGCAUCAAGUAACUACAAGGCACAUAUGAAAUCUCAUACAUACCCAAAGACAAUAAAAGCGACAAUGUGGGAUUGUCAAUUAUGUCCUCUACGAUUCUCCACCGAAUACCAAAUGAAAGUCCAUUUAGUAACGCACAAGAAGCAAAAAUUAUAUUGCUGUGAUGUGUGUGGUGCCAAGCUUACAACAAAGCGUAAUUUCCUAAAGCAUCAAUGGACACGUCACAAGGCUACAAAGGAAGAGCUAUACACAUUUUCCUGUGAGAUUUGCAGCCAAAGGUUUUCCUCAAUAUAUGUACUUAAAAGGCACAUGAACACCCACACGGGCCUUAGACCCUACAGUUGCGUGUAUUGUGAUCGUGUUUAUGGCAGUGUCGGCGAUUUGGUAGAGCACGUCGCUAAGCAUCACGUUGGUAACGAUAAUAUUUAUCAGUGCCAUCUGUGUGAUGCAGAUUUCCCGAAGAUAAAGAAGCUUAAAGACCAUUAUGAAGUACAUUACAGAAAUGGUGAGAAAUUGGACAACGAAAUUCUCACAGAAUUCGGAAGGUUUCGGUUCACCAUUAUGGAUUUGAUAAAAAUGCGACGUCGUAAAGAAACGACAGCGUUAAGUAAUGAUAACGCAAAUAAUCAGUUUCCAAGCAGUUCAACAUGUAAAAAUCAACCAUGAGCAAAUUAAAAUCAAUAUGGCGCAAAUAAAGGACUCAUUUAUUUCUAUAACAUCGGCGGAUGCAUUCAUUUGAGUUGACUUGCAGUAGAUAGUAUCGAAUUUACUAUCAGUCGAUAGAAACGAAGCUAAUUCGGAAAGGCUGGGUUUACCCCUAUACAUCCCGUAAGAUAAACGAAAUGAAGCAUUUAUUUUCCGGACAGGAAUAAAAUCCAGUCGGUUGAAUUUUGAAAAACGAAGCAUCUUGACUAUAGUUAUCUUGGGAAGGAUGCGCGGGUCGCGUCAAACGAGUGUUGGUAAACAAUAAAAUCUUCCAUUUUCCGCGAAAAGGCAACAGGAAGAAUCGGGAACAUUCAGAAUACGUUUUAGUGGUUUAGAUAUUCCGAGUUUCACUCGUAUUUCGUGAACAUAUUGGCAAUAAGAAGUGUUAAAUCAAUGCAAAAAGAUGCUGACCAAAUAUUGUCGUAUUUGCUUAACUAGCGCCGGUGUUGUUCAUCAGCUCGACGAAGUAGUGCAUAAAUCCCUGACUCUCUAUGCAAUUCUGUGCAAACUGUAUCCCGAGGCUUUCAUUAAUUAUGACGAACCACAAUGGCCUACGCGAGUUUGCGGAAACUGCAAGCACGGUAUAAUGGAUGCCUUCAGGUUGUACACGAUUUGUAUGACAUCCUUCCAAGUAUUCAAGAAUCAAUACGAAUGGAAUCAGUUAAGAGCAGAAACUAGCUUUUCAGAUCCAAGCUUCAUCAUAGCUGACAGUGAUGCAAUUGAAUUAUGCACUCCUGAGGGCAAUAAAAUAAAAAUUGAGGAAGAUGAUAAAUCAUCUUUAACAAGUGACGAGAGAGAGAUAAUUGAUUCGACUGAAGAACGGAUCGCAGACGAAGAUGUGCAAAGUAGCAUUAGUGAACACCAAGAAAUUGCUGAGGGUAGAAAAGAUAUCGUUCCACCUGAAAUUGCAGAAACAAUUGAGAUCACAAACGAAACUGCCGCUAAUUAUAGCAAUGAGAUUGUUGAGUUAUCCAUAGAAAUGGAUUGUGUAUCGCCAAAACAUGCAAUUUCAUCCAUCGAAGAACAUGUUGCUGAUAUAGAGGGGAGUAUGGAAUAUUUGGAUGACAUAGAGGAUAGCUUUCAUGCCAGCAUAUAUCAGCAAAGUGAUGACAAUCAAGAUGAAAAUUCAGUGGUUGAGAACACGGUAGCAAGGCCAGAAAUAUCAAAUGCCAUCAUGAAUUCUGAGUACUUGAAAGAUGUUUCCGAUGAAUCGGAACGCGAAGAAGCUUUACCCCAAAUAUUUUCGACGGAAUUAUUGAAUUGUGAAUCAUGUCGGGAUGUGUUUAUAGACAAAGAAUCAUACAAGAAGCAUAUUAAGAAGCAUUCAAAGGGAUUCCAUAUAUUUUGCAAAAUGUGUUGCGAAGGAUUCAAUAGCGCAAACGCCCUGAACGUACAUAAAUGUAAGGAAAAUUCCUCAACCCUUUGUUGGAUAUGUGGAGUAUUAUUAGAUACACAAGAAAAGCACAAGAGACACAUGCAAGACCAUGGGCGAAAAGGGACUUGGGCCUGUCAACUGUGCCCUUUACAAUUCUCCUCAGAAAAUGUCUUGAAGGGGCACGUAAGAACACACAAAAAAGAUAAAGGGCAUUAUUGCGACGUGUGUGGUGCGCGUCUGUAUUCAAAGCGCAAUUUGAGUUACCAUCAACGAGCGGUUCACGGAG